rnacentral:rRNA from 1 species
UAGGGAAUAUUGGACAAUGGGCGAAAGCCUGAUCCAGCCACGCCGCGUGAGUGGUGAAGGCCCUCGGGUCGUAAAGCUAUGUGGGGAGGGACGAAAAAGGUGGGGUAAUGCCCACUAUUGACGGUACCUCCUUAGCAAGCACCGGCUAACUCUGUGCCAGCAGCCGCGGUAAUACAGAGGGUGCAAACGUUGCUCGGAAUCACUGGGCGUAAAGCGCGUGUAGGCGGACUUGCAAGUCGGGUGUGAAAUCCCUGGGCUCAACCUAGGAACUGCACCCGAAACUGCAUGUCUUGAGUGUCGGAGAGGGAAGCGGAAUUCCUGAUGUAGAGGUGAAAUUCGUAGAUAUCAGGAGGAACACCGGUGGCGAAGGCGGCUUCCUGGACGACUACUGACGCUGAGACGCGAAAGCGUGGGGAGCAAACAGGAUUAGAUACCCCGGUAGUCC